UGGACCAAUGAUGACCUUGUCUAUAUUAUAAGUCAUAGACGAUGACAACAUACUGGAUUCUGAGGUUCAU
rfam:Mus musculus chromosome 12, GRC primary reference assembly.